rnacentral:rRNA from 1 species
CACGUAGGGGGCAAGCGUUGUCCGGAAUCAUUGGGCGUAAAGAGCGUGUAGGCGGUCCGGUAAGUCAGCUGUGAAAGUCAAGGGCUCAACCCUUGAAUGCCGGUUGAUACUGUCGGGCUAGAGUCCGGAAGAGGCGAGUGGAAUUCCCGGUGUAGCGGUGAAAUGCGCAGAUAUCGGGAGGAACACCAAUGGCGAAGGCAGCUCGCUGGGACGGUACUGACGCU